AAUCAACGCUGGCGGCGUGCCUAACACAUGCAAGUCGAACGCGAAAGCCCUUUCGGGGGUAAGUAGAGUGGCGCACGGGUGAGUAACACGUAGGUAAUCUACCUUUGGAUGGGGAAUAACAACCGGAAACGGUUGCUAAUACCGCAUAAUGCAGCGGCACCUAAUGGUGACAGUUGUUAAAGCGGGGAUCGAAAGACCUCGCGUCUGAAGAGGAGCCUGCGGCGGAUUAGCUAGNGGUAGGUAACGGCUUACCAAGGCGACGAUCCGUAGCCGGCCUGAGAGGGCGGUCGGCCACACUGACACUGACAUACGGGUCAGACUCCUACGGGAGGCAGCAGUCGGGAAUUUUGGGCAAUGGGCGAAAGCCUGACCCAGCAACGCCGCGUGAAGGAUGAAAUCCC
rnacentral:rRNA from 1 species